GAUGAACGCUGGCGGCGUGCCUAAUACAUGCAAGUCGAGCGAACAGACGAGGAGCUUGCUCCUCUGACGUUAGCGGCGGACGGGUGAGUAACACGUGGAUAACCUACCUAUAAGACUGGGAUAACUUCGGGAAACCGGAGCUAAUACCGGAUAAUAUAUUGAACCGCAUGGUUCAAUAGUGAAAGACGGUUUUGCUGUCACUUAUAGAUGGAUCCGCGCCGCAUUAGCUAGUUGGUAAGGUAACGGCUUACCAAGGCGACGAUGCGUAGCCGACCUGAGAGGGUGAUCGGCCACACUGGAACUGAGACACGGUCCAGACUCCUACGGGAGGCAGCAGUAGGGAAUCUUCCGCAAUGGGCGAAAGCUUGACGGAGCAACCCCGCGUGAGUGAUGAAGGUCUUCGGAUCGUAAAACUCUGUUAUUAGGGAAGAACAAAUGUGUAAGUAACUAUGCACGUCUUGACGGUACCUAAUCAGAAAGCCACGGCUAACUACGUG
rnacentral:rRNA from 1 species